rnacentral:tRNA from 1 species
ACAUCCAUGGAUGAAUGGUUAAAGCGCCCAACUCAUAAUUGUUGAACUUGUGGGUUCAAUUCCUGCUAGAUGUA